NNNNUGAAAAACAAUAUUUGAGUGCCUAGAUCAUGCUGGCGUCUCCGAAGCCGCCUGCAGCGAGCGCGUCUGACCUCAGCCCCCUCCUUCGCGCGGUCCCCGGGGGCGCGGGAGGAAGCGAGCGCCGCGGAGCCGUGCCCAGGGGCCGUCUGGUUCCCACACGCCGCGGCCAGGCCGCUCGCCCGCGCCUGGGAACGUGCGGCCCCAGCCGGCCACAGCCCCGGGCUGCCGCCGAGCGAGCCAGGGGGCCGAGCUGGGGGGGCCGAGUGCAGCAUCGCCGGGCACGGUGCGCCCAUGGCACCCUCUGCGCCACAGCCCCCAGCUGGGUGCAGGGCUGUGAUGGGAGCGGGGCGGUGGGUGCCCAUGCUCCUGCCUGCACUGCGGGGUGCUGGGCACGGCCCCGGCUCGGCCCCCGGCUCGCUCCAGCCCUUGGGAUCACAGGUCCCUGCUGGAGCCUGGCCGGGGGGGACAGGGCAGAUUGCAGCCGGCUUGUUCAUCCCUGCGCAGGGCUGGUGCCUCCCUGCCGUGCCCCUGCCCAGGGGGGACAGGGCUCGGCCCCGCUCCCGGCAGCGCGGCCGCCCUGGGUCGGCUCCUCUCCCUCCCCUUCCUCCCCCCGCGCUCGCCGGCGGCCGUGGUGGGUGGGCUGGCCCCCUGCCCGCUCGCCCGCUCCCAGCUGCGCCGUGCCACACCACUGGGGAUGCAGCCGCGCUCGCACCCCGGAGCGGGAGCAGCGCUCGGCCCCCGGGGCUCCUGCCGCGGUGGCGCGUGACAUCGCCCCUCUGCCGGCUGCUCCGGCGGGGUGCCAGGGCUCAGUGCUGCGGCUGCGGGGCCGGACACACGGGGACGCAAGGUGCUGCGGCCCCCUCCCCGCGCAAGGGACAGGGAAAGGCAGGAACACAGGGCUCCUGCCGGGGACGGGCCUGUGAUGCUGCGUGCACAUGUGUGCACAUGCAUGCGCACACGCACAGCUGGGCACACGCAUACACGUGCAUGCACACACAUGCAGCUGUGCACACGCACACACGCAGCAGCCCCGCCUGCACACCCAGGAGGCAACAAGGAGCCGCCGACGCAUCGAUUGGCACCGCAGCUUCGGCGUGGCCGGGAGCGCAGGGUCCGGCCAUGGGGCGCCCGUCACGUGCAGCCCCUACAGAGGUGCACGGGGCACCUGCCCUUGCCCUGCUGUCCCGUCCCACCGUGGCCUGCCCGGGCAGUCCGGGGAAAUCCGCCCCCCACCGCAGCGCUGGCCUUCCUCCCACCCCUUCCUCUUCCUCCCACACGGAGCAGCCGGCUCACCCCGCUGCAAUGCCCGCGGCGAGGGCUGGUGCACCAAGUCCCUGCGGCGCCAGAGACCCCGCCGGGUCAGCCGGACACGGGGCAUCCGGUGAGGAGAAGCCGAGCAUGACCCGGCAGCCCGUCCUCAGCCUGGGGAGGCGGCGGUGGCCCUGGGGACAGAGGCAGUGGCCCUGGGGACAGGCUGCCCUGGCUCCCCGAAGGUGCAGAGCCGCCGGGCCAGCCCCAGUGCCUGCACACCCAGCCGGCUGCACGCGUGGGCGCCACGCGGGCCGGCAAGGUGCGAGCGGUGCCGGGGAGCCGCGCGAGCGUCUGAGCCCUCCCGGGCUGGCCGGGCUCCACGGGCCGGGCGCUGCCGAUGGGAACGGGGUGCUGCCAAUGGGAAGGGGGCGCUGCCGAUGGGAAGGGGGUGCCCACUUGCUGUCGGGCUGCUGCUAGCCCGGAGCCAGGGCUGUGGCUGGGAAUCAGUAACGCGGAGCGGCUCGCGGGGCCGGGAGCCACCGGGACGAGGGGAUGGCACAGGGCAGCCGGGAGCAGAGCAGAGCGGGGCUGGGGCUCCCCGGGACACCCCACGCCGGGGCCCUGCAGCCCCCGCGGCCCGUGGGGACCGGGGCGACGCUCGGCUCCCGGGGCUCAGACAGGAAGGAGACGUCAGCGCGGCGGAGCGUAACUCGAACCAGAUGGGGCCGCGCUCUUUUCCAGGACCGCAGGGUGGUCACCGACAGGAACUGGUCAAAGGCUGCCGGCAGGAAACGGGCUGGGAGGGAACUCCCUCGGCCGCCGCCGGAGCAGGCGCCCCGGCCUGGGCAGCGUUAACCGCUUCGGGGCCGCGGGGA
rnacentral:lncRNA from 1 species